UUCAAGGUCAAGAAAUACCUAUAAAGUUGAACUAUGUCAUUCAUCAAGGUGUAGCAGCUGUGGUUCUCAAUAUCCCCAAUAAGAGGCUCGAGCCACGUAUCUGCACCUCUAGAUUUUCUCAAAAGGCUUCGAGUAGCAGGAACUUCAGUAACACUUCUCAUAGCCAAGCUUCUACUACUAGAGCUAACCUCUAUUAGAAGAGAAGAUGAAGAGGGAACAACAGUAGGAGGCGUAGUAGAAAAAGUAAAUACUAUAGAGGUCGUUGAAGUUGAAGCAGGAAGGGAAGGAGAAGCUAUAGAAACUGAUUCAGGAACGGGAAUGGAAGUAUUCACAAUUGGUGAAGGUACGAAAGAAAUUAUUGGUGAUGAAGUACUUACAAUUGGCAAAGGAAUGGAAGGAGAAAGAAUGAAUGAAGAGAGAGGAGCUUCAUCAAAAACAGGUCCGAGCUCGCCACUCCAGAAACCACUAUCCAAUGGAGGUUAAGUUGGUACACCCGUGCUUUUGGAAUGGUUUCCUCAUCGGAUUAGAUUAAAACAGGCUCGGUAAUGGAAGUAAUUGUAGAAGAAGUGAUUGCAGCAGAAGAUGGCUUUUGGCACGGUUUCCUCAUUAGAUUGGAUUAAAACAUGCUCGGUAAUGGAAGUAAUUGUAGAAGAAGUGAUUGCAGCAGAAGUAUGAGCAGGAGAAUCUUCAACUUCUUCAUCCAAAACAAUACGUCUCCUAGCUCUUGGCCUAGAUACCAAAGAGAUAUUAACUUCUUCUUCGUUUUCAGCUUCCAUUACCAAAGCUUUUCUCUUGGCUAAAAGUGCUUUAGCCUUAUACAAACCAAGGGCAGAGUUGGCAGUUGGCUAUAACAACCUCUGUUGUCAUCCCUUUUAUUCCAAAUCCUGAUAAAAAAAAAGGAUUUGAGUUCAUCAGAAAAAUUUAGUAUACGUAUCUAGAAAGUAUACAUGAAAAGAAAUAUGUACCAUGUGUUUUUACUGUCCACACGUGUGAGGAAGAGAUAGAUUUCCAAGUCAUAUCUUCCUUAGGGGUAAUUUUUAAAAUUGAGUCUACCCAACAACAAAAAUUAGGAACGGGUUCCACAUCUCCCAUGGUUGCUACAAAAAAACCAAAAAGGGGAUAAAUGUAAAGAGAAAAUCAAAAUCUCGUAAAGUAGGCACGGGAAAAGUAAAACAGAAACAUACGUGCAA
rnacentral:lncRNA from 1 species